rnacentral:lncRNA from 1 species
AUGGGGUUUGAGCAGGUGCUCCCUCCCCUGGCCGCUGCCCCUCCUAACUUCCUGUUUACAGCAGCUGCGGACUCUCUUCUCUUCACCCCAAGCCAUUAUGGUCACCAUGGCAACCAGGCUGUGUUCCAACAGACAGGAAUUGGCAGCGUGGCUGUGAGUCUGGAUCUGGAAGCUGAGACAGGUGCUCGCCCCAUCAGAGCAGUGUCCACCCCCACCUGUGGCUGGAGGGGGGCACCGGGUCCUCUCUGGGCUGGGGAUGAAGAAGGUACAGCCACAGUUAUUCACAGUGGGCUGCCCCCUGCAUGCAGCUGGAACCCUGUCCCCUCCUCAGCCCAGCUGACGGAAGACCCCUGGCCAACCCAGAGCCAGCUGUCCUUGCCUCUGGAACUGAGCUGAAGUUGCUUCCAGGUUUGCCUGUUCCCCACCCGGCCAGGAGUCCUGCCAUUAGAGAUGAGAUCCUUUGGGGUGAAAACUUCUCCAAACCAGUCUGACCCUCCGAGUACGAGUUUCUCAGAGGGUCCAGCAGGGCUGGGAUCCAGGGGCCCUGUGCACCUCAGCCAAGUUCAGAACCUCUAAGCGGCCCCAGGGCUGGCCAAGUGCAGUGGGGCGGCGGGGGGGGGGGGGGAGCGUCCCAUAGCAGGGCCUCCACCCGGCAGAUCUGGGGCAGGCCCAGCAAGCUGUAUUUACAGGCUCUCCAGGUGCCCACGGUGCAUGGGAGGGGCGCCGAGGGUGGGGCGGGUUUCCGACCGGCUGGGUGACCCAGCGUGUGGCCCCACCUCGGCUGAUCACCAACAGGUGAUGCGAAUUGCUGUGGGUGUCCGGGGAUGAUGCCUGCACGACCCCCUCGCUCGAGGGGCAGAGUCCCCCCUGAGAAAAGGAGCCGUUAAGCCCGCGGUGGCGGAGUCCCCAGACCCAGCCCCGCUCCCGAUUGGUACUGGGGACAGCGCUGGGCUAGGAGGGCGACUUCAGAGAUGACUGCGCAGCUCUUCUAGAAAAGUCUGCGCUGCGGACCCAAGCAUGCCGUGCCGGUUUUCCGCGACUCUGGCUUCCCUGGGGCCCUCGGGAGGGGGUCCUGCCGCAGAGCCGGGCCAGCUCCUCGGCCGCACCCACCUGUGGGUUGACGGACAGCCCGAGGCCACGCCCCCUGGGGAGGGGGCUGCCCGGCGCGCCCCUGGGCCGUCUGCGUCCAGCUGCGGGCCCUUGCGGCGGGGGCGGGGCGGGGG